GCCCUCGUCGAUCAAUGGAGAUCACCGACCUCCGUUUCGAGGUAUGGCAUUGACACGUACAUAUAUACCGAGUCGGCGCCGGGGUUCGAAUCCCCCGAGGGCA